GACGGGGGGAGCAAGCGUUGUUCGGAUUUACUGGGCGUAAAGGGCGCGUAGGCGGUCGUGACAAGUCACUUGUGAAAUCUCCGGGCUUAACUCGGAACGGUCAAGUGAUACUGUCGGACUAGAGUACAGAAGGGGCAACUGGAAUUCUCGGUGUAGCGGUGAAAUGCGUAGAUAUCGAGAGGAACACCUGCGGCGAAAGGCGGGUUGCUGGGCUGAUACUGACGCUGAGGCGCGAAAGCCAGGGGGAGCAAAACGGG
rnacentral:rRNA from 1 species